rnacentral:sRNA from 1 species
AUGCCUCCGCGGCCCAUAAAUGGAAACAUAAUUCGAAUAAGGGAACCCAAUGUGAUAUUGAGCAAGGUUCAUCUCCAAUCCAAACAUACAGAGUACAUUUUUUGAUGUCGUUACCACUCCAGAUACAGAACUACGGAGUAAAUCAUGCGCAGCCAGUGAUCCCCAAUUCGAACAUGUUGAAUCUUUCCCACACAUGUUUUUUUUUUCAUUAUUCGCCCUCUCCAAUCGCCUAGGUGAAGAAGCUCGUUGGCACGGUUCAUGCUUGUCCACUGGGAGUGAAGGACGUGCUCAACAAAACUCAAUUUUCAAGUGCAUUCA